rnacentral:rRNA from 1 species
UAUUGCACAAUGGGGGAAACCCUGAUGCAGCGACGCCGCGUGAAGGAAGAAGUAUCUCGGUAUGUAAACUUCUAUCAGCAGGGAAGACAAUCACGGUACCUGACUAAGAAGCCCCGGCUAACUACUUGCCAGCAGCCGCGGUAAUACGUAGGGGGCAAGCGUUAGACGGAUUUACUGGGUGUAAAGGGAGCGUAGACGGAUCUGCAAGUCUGGAGUGAAAGCCCGGGGCUCAACCCCGGGACUGCUUUGGAAACUGUGGAUCUAGAGUGCCGGAGAGGCAAGCGGAAUUCCUAGUGUAGUGGUGAAAUGCGUAGAUAUUAGGAGGAACACCAGUGGCGAAGGCGGCUUACUGGACGGUAACUGACGUUGAGGCUCGAAAGCGUGGGGAGCAAA